CCUACGGGUGGCUGCAGUGGGGAAUAUUGCACAAUGGGGGAAACCCUGACGCAGCGACGCCGCGUGAGUGAAGAAGGAUUUCGGUAUGUAAAGCUCUGUUAGCAGGGAAGAAAAUGACGGUACCUGACCAAGAAGCCCCGGCUAACUACGUGCCAGCAGCCGCGGUAAUACGUAGGGGGCAAGCGUUAUCCGGAUUUACUGGGUGUAAAGGGAGCGUAGACGGGAGGGCAAGUCUGAUGUGAAAGGCGUGGGCUCAACCCACGGCCUGCACUGGAAACUGGCAGUCUGGAGUGCAGGAGAGGUAGGUGGAAUUCCGAGUGUAGCGGUGAAAUGCGUAGAUAUUAGGAGGAACACCAGUGGCGAAGGCGGCUUACUGGACAAUAACUGACGUUGAGGCGCGAAAGCGUGGGGAGCAAACAGGAUUAGAUACCCUGGUAGUC
rnacentral:rRNA from 1 species